GAGGCAUGGGCUUGUGUCCCAUAGGGUCUGGGCUCACUUCUUUCACCUGAGGAGAGGUGGGAAGCCUGGCACAGGUGCAACUCAUUCUCAGCCUCCUUAAAGGGCCAGUACACAUGUGCUUUCCUGGCUAACAGAAGACUAAUGUUUUCUUGUUACAGCCUUAAACAGGACUAAAACUUUGCCUUACCCAGUUAUUUUUCACCUCUGGGCUAGAAGCAAGCUCAGCCUCUUGCGGUAAUCAAGAAGGAGAAGUAGGGAUGCUCUCCAAUGGCCUUGCAAUGUAGUGCUGGGAACUGAUUGUAUAUUAGAUUGGAUUUCUGUACCGAGGGCCUUUCCAGUUCCUUCCUGCUGCCCUCCGCCUCUCCAUGCUACGCCCACCGCAGAACAGCUUUGGGUGUCCCAGAUGGGGAUGACAGAAAGAGCAUAAGAUUUUACCCAAGGUCGCGUUUCUGACGGGGCUGUGAAUUAGCCACAGACCAGCCAGUCCAGGGAGCAAGUGUGAACCGUCGUCCUCUGCCAGUAUGAUGAUAAACCACGUGAAGAAUGGAGAAUGGGGAAAAGAGAGAUUAAAAAGGCUUAUAAAAUUUCUAGGGGCUGAAGUAAUGCUUUUAUUCCCAACUCCUACGCUGACAGCUGCUUUGAGAAGAGUAGGAGUGGAGA